AGGGAAUAGCUCAGUGGUAGAGCACAUGCUUAGCAUGCACAAGGUCCUGGCUUCAAUCCCCAGUACCUCUA
rnacentral:tRNA from 1 species